rnacentral:rRNA from 1 species
ACCGUGGUAAUUCUAGAGCUAAUACAUGCAUUACAAGUCCCGACCUCUGGAAGGGAUGUAUUUAUUAGAUAAAAAACCAAUGCCUUCGGGCUUCUUGGUGAAUCAUAGUAACUUCACGAAUCGCAUAGCCUUGUGCUGGCGAUGGUUCAUUCAAAUUUCUGCCCUAUCAACUUUCGAUGGUAGGAUAUAGGCCUACCAUGGUUUCAACGGGUAACGGGGAAUUAGGGUUCUAUUCCGGAGAGGGAGCCUGAGAAACGGCUACCACAUCCAAGGAAGGCAGCAGGCGCGCAAAUUACCCAAUCCCGACACGGGGAGGUAGUGACAAUAAAUACUGAUACAGGGGGCUUUUGUCUCUUGUAAUUGGAAUGAGUACAAUUUAAAUCUCUUAACGAGGAACAAUUGGAGGGCAAGUCUGGUGCCAGCAGCCGCGGUAAUUCCAGCUCCAAUAGCGUAUAUUAAAGUUGUUGCAGUUAAAAAGCUCGUAGUUGAACCUUGGGCCUGGCCGGCCGGUCUGCCUCACCGCAUGCACUGGUUUGGUUGGGCCUUUCCUUCUGGGGAGCCGCAUGUCCUUUACUGGAUGUGUUGGGGAACCAGGACUUUUACUUUGAAAAAAUUAGAGUGUUUAAAGCAGGCAUUAGCUCGAAUACAUUAGCAUGGAAUAAUAGAAUAGGACGCGUGGUUCUAUUUUGUUGGUUUCUAGGACCACCGUAAUGAUUAAUAGGGAUAGUCGGGGGCAUCAGUAUUCAAUCGUCAGAGGUGAAAUUCUUGGAUCGAUUGAAGACUAACUACUGCGAAAGCAUUUGCCAAGGAUGUUUUCAUUAAUCAGGGAACGAAAGUUAGGGGAUCGAAGACGAUCAGAUACCGUCGUAGUCUUAACCAUAAACUAUGCCGAACUAGGG